GAUCGCCAUAUCUGAAACACCCAGCGUAUUAUCCUAAGUCUGCUAUAUCUAAAUUCUGAGACUCUAGUCCCUUGACAAUGGUAAGAAAAGGAAAAUUUCUGCCGGCCUUAAAGGCGCAACCAGGUAACCUAAAAUGUUGUAAUUUCAGAUCUGAGCUACUUAAAGGGGAAAAGAUCAUACACACUAAAACAAGGGAAAGAGAUAGGAGAAGGAAGAGAAAAGAGAAAGAGAAGUCGCAAAAUAAGAGAAGCCAAGCAACCCCUGCUCAAUUUAAUGUUAUUAAUAUAAACAUAUCAAAUGUAUUGAAGGGAUGUCUAGACCAGUCCACAGAAGUAUGUCAUUAGGAUUAGUAUCACUAUAUUUUAAGAAUCAUACUAGGGUUAUUUUUGGGUGCCAAAUUUCAGCAAUUAAAUGAAUGGUUAAGGGAUGAAGAAAGGAAUUGAACAUAUUAGAUUGGAUUUUCUGGACUCAAUGCCAUUGAAAGGCCCCCUAUCUGCCACAUGUAUAAACCAGGAAACGAAAUAUCCAAAAGGAGGUCUUAUACAGAUAACUUAUAUGAUGGACCAUCAAAGCUCAAAAAGGCUGAUGCACCAAAAGCUAUAUUGGAGUAAGCCUGAUAGAAGAUACCUCAAGCAUUAUGUGAAGAUCAACAGGUGUAAUGGAACACACUUUGCAUGACCAUCAUACCACCAAUAUCAUCCUAUAGAGGCAUAUAAGGUGACACUUGACUUAAGUGUCCAACAGACUCAAAUUUUGAAGGUUAUGACAAGCCACGGUGAAAAAAGCAGUUUUGUGCACAUUAGUCCAAAAGGAAACUUCAUAAGCAUCAACACAAAUAGAAUUUUCAGAUGAAACUACUUCCAUUGCAUCUGGCAUUGAGCUAGCUUUCAAAACAUCUUGAAUCUCCCAAAUCAAAGGUUUGAUGAGGAAGUUUUGACUGAUUUAUGAAAAGCUAUCAAAGUUGACAGUUCCAAAUAUUUUACAAAAUGUCAUUCCAUGAAUCAUUAACUAAAAGAAAAUUUUCCAAU
rnacentral:lncRNA from 1 species